rnacentral:lncRNA from 1 species
ACAGUGCCCAGAGUAAGAAGGAUUAUUGCAUGCACCGGAAAAUUUGCAUUUUCUCCUGACAACUACAUACAUAUCCAUGCUAGUAUCAGUCAGAUCAUUUCAGCAUGUUAGCUGUUAAUAUUUAAAUCUAUCUUUAAUUGGAUUUUUAUCACUUCAUAUGUAUGUUUGUUUUGUUAAUUUUAAGGUACGUGUUUUUUCGUAAUAUCGACCAUUAUAAUGCCCGCAAUCAGAUAUAAAUACUACUUUCCUUCCAAAGUGAAAUUAUGAACUUUUAUUAGUCAAAUACACAGAUAAUAGCAUCGUGAUAAAAUUUCUCAGAGCACCAGUACAUUCUCUUCAUUAGAUUUUUUUUCUCAAGAGUUGAGCUAUCAUAGAAGCUGCCCAGUAAUUUUCUUUUUGAGGUGGUUGUUGUAUUUGUCUGGGUUUUUUGGUUUGGGAGUUGUACUACCUUCAUAAGCAUUUGCAAAGGAUUCUUCCUUGCUCUAUGACAGGCAAUUAUUUGAGGAUGUUAAUGUUGGUUCUUUUUUGAAGGUCUGGUAGGACACUGCCCUGUAACCGUCGGGAGCUGAAGGGUUUGCUGUUGUUGUUGUUGUUGUUGUUGUUGUUUUGUUUGGGAGUAGAUUUUUUAAAAUUUAUUGACUUUAUCUUGAUUUGCUUUUGGUAGGUCACUUGUAUCUAGAAUUUCGUCCAUUUCUUUUAGAUUUUCAGAUUUUCAAGCAUAAAAGCUCUUCACAUUAUUUUAUAAAAUAAAAAUUUGGUAGUGCUACUGCUAACAUAAACAACUUGGAGAGGUCUCGUGUUAAUAUAGUGUCACCCCUAAAGCAUUGAAACAGUUGUGGGUUCCAGAAAAGCACAGGCUGCCUGGAGAUGUCAAUAUAGGCACAUAGUAUGUUUUUUUUUUUUUUACACCAAUAGAAAAUAAUUUGAAAAUGUUAUAAAGAGUUAACUAUUUUACCAAGGGGUUGGAUGUAGUUGACAGUCGAUUGUUGGUAGGGAAGGGCGAACCACCUUUUUGUGAAGCUGUGGCCAUUUAGAUGUUUGGCAUGGAUGGUCCCACACUGAUGGGUUAUACAAGAACAAAUACAUAAAUAAUUAAUUUUUAAAAAUAUAAGAAA